AGCGAACGCUGGCGGCAGGCUUAACACAUGCAAGUCGAGCGGCCAUCCUUGUGGUGUCAGCGGCAGACGGGUGAGUAACGCGUGGGAACGUGCCCUUCGUCUCGGAAUAACUCAGGGAAACUGGUGCUAAUACCGGAUACGCGCUAUUGGCGCAAGGUUUAAUGAGGAAGGAGCGGCCCGCCUUCGAUUAGUUAGUUGGUGAGUGUAUGGAUCACGAAGGCGACGAUCAGUAGCUGGGCUGAGAGGAUGAGCCGCCACACUGGGACUGAGACACGGCGCAGACUACUACGGGAGGCAGCAGUGGGGAAUAUUGGAAUAUGGGGGGAAUCAUGAAGCAGCCCGGCCGGGUGAGUGAUGAUGGCGUUAGGGUUGUAAAGCUCUUUUAUCCGGGGCGAUAAUGACGGUACCGGAAGAAUAAGCCCCGGCUAACUUCGUG
rnacentral:rRNA from 1 species